UUGAACUUGCAACGCUCUAACCACUAGGCUACCCUGCCGCCCCAUGUCUAACAAAACAAAACACAGGUAUUAACAAGAAAAUACUCAGACAUACAAACAAUACAAGAAAACACAGAUAUGAUCAAUAUCCACAAAUGUGGAUAUCAUAGAAUUACAUGGCUACAUCUCAUGUAAAAUUUUAAAGUGCACUUCCUUAAAGUGCACUUCCUUAGUUUGUUAUACAAUAUUUGUAAGGCCUUAACCGUUCAUUUUUCCAGACAAUGUCAGGAAUAAGCAUGUUCCAGAAAAAUGUUCCUCUCGGAAAAGGUCAAUUUAGGUCUAUAUUCUCUUGAAAUGAAGAUGUCACUGAAAUUGCUGGAGCCGGUGAGUUGUCAAGAGAGCGGGAAUAAAACGCAAGAUGCAGCUCUACCGCCCUCUAGUGUUCAAUAUUCUUCAUCUGAAGGAAAGGUGGAGGGAGCGGAACCAUAAAUAAUGUAGUACACGUGCAGUAUGUGACUGAUGCUCCACUCCACGCUCCAAGUGAUGUGAAUGGGCACCUACUGAUUCGUCUUUUUCUACCGAAUAUACAUUUUAGUCAGUUGGUUGCACAAAUUCCAUUAUACUUUUCAGCGGACUAAACAUUCCAGAACAGAUGUGAUCGUGUUUCCAUCACAUCACUGCCCCCGGUGUCCAGUGAGUGACAACUACAGUGGAUAUUAUUUAACUCCGCUAGAACAGCCGCCAGUCAGCCUUCACUUUCGAGGUUUUGGAGUCGACCAAUUAAUUGAAUUGGAAAAUACAUUCCCAAAAUGGCUACG